rnacentral:rRNA from 1 species
UACGGGGGGAGCAAGCGUUGUUCGGAUUUACUGGGCGUAAAGGGCGCGUAGGCGGUCGUGACAAGUCACUUGUGAAAUCUCCGGGCUUAACUCGGAACGGUCAAGUGAUACUGUCGGACUAGAGUACAGAAGGGGCAACUGGAAUUCCCGGUGUAGAGGUGAAAUGCGUAGAUAUCCGGAGGAACACCAGUGGCGAAAGCGGCCACCUGGACUGCACCUGACGCUGACACGCGAAAGCUAGGGGAGCGAACGGG